GACAGAGGGUGCAAACGUUGUUCGGAAUUACUGGGCGUAAAGCGCGUGUGGGCGGCUGCGUGUGUCGGGCGUGAAAUCCCAUGGCUCAACCAUGGAAGUGCACCCGAAACUGCGUAGCUAGAGUCCUGGAGAGGAAGGUGGAAUGCUUGGUGUAGAGGUGAAAUUCGUAGAUAUCAAGCGGAACACCGGUGGCGAAGGCGGCCUUCUGGACAGUGACUGACGCUGAGACGCGAAAGCGUGGGGAGCAAACAGG
rnacentral:rRNA from 1 species